GCGAUCAAUCACGGUGCCUCUAUACAUGGGCGUACUACAGUCUGUUGUGAAGAGGGUUGCAAGCUCAUCAUUGCCAAUCAUAAGAAAGGUUUGGGGACUUCUCUGGUGGUGCAGUGGAUGGGAGUCCGCCUACCAAUGCAGGGGACACAGGCUCGAUCCUGGUCUGGCAAGAUCCUACCUGCUGUGGAGCAACUAAGCCCGAGUGCCACGACUACUGAGCCUGCAAUUUAGAGCUUGUGCUCUGCAACAGGAGAAGCCACCACGAUGAGAAGGCCACACACAGCAAAGGAGAGUAGUCCCAGAUCACGGCAACAAAGAACC
ensembl:lncRNA